GACACGACUCUCGACAAUGGAUAUCUUGGCUCUUGCAUCGAUGAAGAGCGCAGCGAAAUGCGAUACGUGGUGCGAAUUGCAGAAUCCCGCGAACCAUCGAGUCUUUGAACGCAAGUUGCGCCCGAGGCCAUCCGGCCAAGGGCACGUCCGCCUGGGCGUCAAGC
rnacentral:rRNA from 1 species